rfam:Triticum aestivum genome assembly, contig: Triticum_aestivum_CS42_TGACv1_scaffold_405990_5BL
GAAGUACUCUCUCCGUCCAAAAAUACCUGUCAUCAAAAUGGAUAAAAAGGGAUGUAUCUAAAACUAAAAUACGUCUAGAUAUAUUCCCUUUUAUUCAAUUUGAUGGCAAGUAUUUCUGGACGGAGGGAGUACCAG